rnacentral:rRNA from 1 species
GUGCCAGCCGCCGCGGUAAUUCCAGCUCCAACAGCGUAUAUUAAAGUUGUUGUGGUUAAAAAGCUCGUAGUUGAACCUUGGGCCUGGCUGGCCGGUCCGCCUCACCGCGUGCACUGGUCCGGCCGGGCCUUUCCCUCUGUGGAACCCCAUACCCUUCACUGGGCGUGGCGGGGAAACAGGACAUUUACUUUGAAAAAAUUAGAGUGCUCCAGGCAGGCCUAUGCUCGAAUACAUUAGCAUGGAAUAAUAAAAUAGGACGCGCGGUUCUAUUUUGUUGGUUUAUAGGACCGCCGUAAUGAUUAAUAGGGACAGUCGGGGGCAUCAGUAUUCAACUGUCAGAGGUGAAAUUCUUGGAUCAGUUGAAGACUAACUACUGCGAAAGCAUUUGCCAAGGAUGUUUUCAUUAAUCAGGAACGAAAGUUAGGGGAUCGAAGACGAUCAGAUACCGUCGUAGUCUUAACCAUAAACUAUGCCGACUAGGGAUCGGACGGUGUUAUUCAUGACCCGUUCGGCACCUUACGAGAAAUCAAAGUGCUUGGGCUCCAGGGGGAGUAUGGUCGCAAGGCUGAAACUUAAAGAAAUUGACGGAAGGGCACCACCAGGGGUGGAGCCUGCGGCUUAAUUUGACUCAACACGGGGAAACUCACCAGGUCCAGACACAAUAAGGAUUGACAGAUUGAGAGCUCUUUCUUGAUUUUGUGGGUGGUGGUGCAUGGCCGUUCUUAGUUGGUGGGGUGACUUGUCUGCUUAAUUGCGAUAACGAACGAGACCUUAACCUGCUAAAUAGCCCGCAUUGCUCCGGCAGUGCGCUGGCUUCUUAGAGGGACUUUCG